rnacentral:rRNA from 1 species
GUGACAAACCGGAGGAAGGUGGGGAUGACGUCAAGUCCUCAUGGCCCUUAUGGGUAGGGCUUCACACGUCAUACAAUGGUCGGUACAGAGGGUUGCCAAGCCGCGAGGUGGAGCCAAUCCCAGAAAGCCGAUCGUAGUCCGGAUCGGAGUCUGCAACUCGACUCCGUGAAGUCGGAAUCGCUAGUAAUCGUGGAUCAGCAUGCCACGGUGAAUACGUUCCCGGGUCUUGUACACACCGCCCGUCACACCAUGGGAGUGGGUUUCACCAGAAGUAGGUAGCCUAACCGCGAGGGGGGCGCUUACCACGGUGGGAUUCAUGACUGGGGUGAAGUCGUAACAAGGUAGCCGUAUCGGAAGGUGCGGCUGGAUCACCUCCUUU